GAAAUGCGAUAAUUAAUGUGAAUUGCAGAAUUCAGUGAAUCAUCGAGUCUUUGAACGCACAUUGCGCCCCCUGGUAUUCCGGGGGGCAUGCCUGUCCGAGCGUCAUUGCUGCCCUCAAGCACGGCUUGUGUGUUGGGCUUCCGUCCCUGGCAACGGGGACGGGCCCAAAAGGCAGUGGCGACACCAUGUCUGGUCCUCGAGCGUAUGGGGCUUUGUCACCCGCUCCCGUAGGUCCAGCUGGCAGCUAGCCUCGCAACCAAUCUUUUUAAACAGGUUGACCUCGGAUCAGGUAGGGAUACCCGCUGAACUUAAGC
rnacentral:misc_RNA from 1 species